CCAAUAGCGUAUAUUAAAGUUGUUGCAGUUAAAAAGCUCGUAGUUGAAUUUCGGGGUCAGCAGGUUGGUCGUGCCACUGGUAUGCACUGGCUUCGCUGAUUCCUCCUUUCUGAAGAACUGUAAUGUCAUUAAUUUGGUGUUGCAGGGAAACAGGACUGUUACUUUGAAAAAAUUAGAGUGUUUAAAGCAAGCUAACGCUUGAAUACAUUAGCAUGGAAUAAUGAAAUAGGACGUUCGAUCCUAUUUUGUUGGUUUCUAGGAUUGACGUAAUGAUUAAUAGGGAUAGUUGGGGGCAUUAGUAUUCAAUUGUCAGAGGUGAAAUUCUUGGAUUUAUUGAAGACUAACUACUGCGAAAGCAUUUGCCAAGGAUGUUUUCAUUAAUCAAGAACGAAAGUUAGGGGAUCGAAGACGAUCAGAUACCGUCGUAGUCUUAACCAUAAACUAUGCCGACUAGGGAUCGGAUGAUGUUAAUUUUUUAAUGACUCAUUCGGCACCUUACG
rnacentral:rRNA from 1 species